AUUGAACGCUGGCGGAAGGCCUAACACCUGCAAGUCGAACGAGUGGCGGACGGGUGAGUAAUGUCUGGGAACCUGCCUGAUGGAGGGGGAUAACUACUGGAAACGGUAGCUAAUACCGCAUACCAUCAGAUUUUCCCAGAUGGGAUUAGCAGGUUGUGGGGGUAACGGCUCACGAAGGCGACGAACCCUAGCUGGUCUGAGAGGAUGCACAGCCACACUGUGACUGAGACACGGUCCAGACUCCUACGGGAGGCAGCAGUGGGGAAUAUUGCACAAUGGGCGCAAGCCUGAUGCAGCCAUUCCGCGUGUAUGAAGAAGGCCUUCGGGUUGUAAAGUACUUUCAGUGGGGAGGCGUUACCCGCAGAAGAAGCACCGGCUAACUCCGUGCCAGCAGCCGCGGUAAUUC
rnacentral:rRNA from 1 species